UACAGAGGUCUCAAGCGUUGUUCGGAAUUACUGGGCGUAAAGGGUGCGUAGGCUGCGCAGAAAGUCAGGUGUGAAAUCCAGGAGCUCAACUUCUGAAUUGCACCCGAUACUCCUGUGCUAGAGGAUUGGAGAGGAGCUUGGAAUUCUCGGUGUAGCAGUGAAAUGCGUAGAUAUUCGCAAGAACACCAGUGGCGAAGGCGGCUCACUGGCCCGGUACUGACGCUGAGGUGACGAAAGCGUGGGGGAGCAAACAGG
rnacentral:rRNA from 1 species